GAAAGUAAACAAGGGCGCAUGGAGGAUGCCUAGGCUCUCGGAGGCGAAGAAGGACGUGAUAAGCUGCGAAAAGUUACGGUAAGGCGCAAAUAGCCGUAGACCCGUAAAUAUCCGAAUGGGGCAACCCGGCCAGCAAUGGUCAUACCGCCAAGCGGUAAGCCAACGCGGGGAACUGAAACAUCUAAGUACCCGCAGGAAAAGAAAAUAACAAUGAUUCCGCCAGUAGUGGCGAGCGAACGCGGAACAGCCCAAACCACCCGUGUUACGGCACGAGUGGGGUAGAAGGAUCCACGAUACGGCAAGAAAUAAGUUAGCAGAAUACGAUGGAAAUCGUAGCCAAAGACGGUGACAGCCCGGUACGCGAAAACCGACAGAAGCCCAGUGGACACCUGAGUAACCCAGGACACGAGAAAUCCGGGGCGAAUCAGCGGGGCCCAUCCCGUAAGGCUAAAUACUCCCGAGAGACCGAUAGCGAACCAGUACUGUGAAGGAAAGGUGAAAAGCACCUCGAACAGAGGAGUGAAAUAGUCCCUGAAACCGUCUGCCUACAAGCGGUCGGAGCAACGUAAGUUGUGACGGCGUGCCUUUUGCAUAAUGAACCUACGAGUUACUUUCUCCGGCAAGGUUAAGGGCUUCAGGCCCGGAGCCGAAGCGAAAGCGAGUCUUAAUAGGGCGUGAUAGUCGGAGUGAGUAGACGCGAAACCAAGUGAUCUACCCUUGGUCAGGAUGAAGGUUGGGUAACACCAACUGGAGGUCCGAAUGGGUAUACGUUGAAAAGUGUUCCAAUGAACUGAGGGUAGGGGUGAAAGGCUAAUCAAACUUGGAGAUAGCUCGUACUCCCCGAAAUGCAUUUAGGUGCAGCCUUUAUUUAGUAUAGCAUGAGGUAGAGCGACUGAUUGGAUGCGAGGGCUUCACCGCCUAUCAAGUCCAGAUAAACUCCGAAUGCGUGCUAUAUAUUGAUAAGGAGUGAGGGCGCGGGUGCUAAGGUCCGCGUCCGAGAGGAGAAGAAUCCAGACCAUCAGCUAAGGUCCCCAAAUAACAGUUAAGUUGAACUAACGAAGUCGGACUGCAGAGACAGCUAGGAUGUUGGCUUGGAAGCAGCCAUUCAUUUAAAGAGUGCGUAACAGCUCACUAGUCGAGGAGUCCGGCGUGGAUAAUACUCGGGCAUAAACUGUUUACCGAAGCUAUGGAUGUAGAAAUACAUGGUAGGGGAGCAUUCCAACGGCGUUGAAGGUGAAGGAUGACCUUUGCUGGAGCUUUUGGAAACGCAAAUGUAGGUAUAAGUAACGAUAAAGGAGGUGAGAAACCUCCUCGCCGAAAGACUAAGGUUUCCUGAUCAACGUUAAUCGGAUCAGGGUAAGUCGGGACCUAAGGUUAAGCCGAACGGCGAUACCGAUGGAAGAAUGGUUUAAUAUUCCCAUACUACUUUAUGGAGCGAUGUGGAGACGGAGAAGUGAAAGUCCUGCCAUCUGACGGAAUAGGUGGUUGAAGAGUGUAGAUGUAGAUUCCUGUAGGCAAAUCCGCAGGGAGAGUCGACCUUGACAGUAUGCCGCGUGCUUGCACAAGGCAAAAUGGACGUAAUCAGGCUCCCAAGAAAAUCCGCUAAGCAUAUUCAUAAAGUACCCGUACCGUAAACGGACACACGUAGUUGGGUUGAAAAUACUGAGGCGCUCGAGUGAUUCACGGUUAAGGAACUAGGCAAAUUGACCCUGUAACUUCGGGAUAAAGGGUCCCUACUGAGAGGUAGGGCGCAGAGAAUAGGUCCAGGCAACUGUUUAACAAAAACACAUGGCUGUGCGAAAUAGAAAUAUGAAGUAUACAGCCUGACACCUGCCCGGUGCUGGAAGGUUAAGAGGAGAGCUCAUCGCAAGAGAAGGCUUGAAUUGAAGCCCCAGUAAACGGCGGCCGUAACUAUAACGGUCCUAAGGUAGCGAAAUUCCUUGUCGGGUAAGUUC
rnacentral:rRNA from 1 species